CUCAAGCCAUGCACCGAAGCUUCGGGUUCGAGCAAUCGAACGGUAGCAGAGCGUUGUGUAUGCCUGCGAAGGGAAAGGGCGACCGAUCCUGGAGGUAUCACAAGUGAGAAUGCUGACAUUAGUAGCGAUAAAGAGGGUGAGAGACCCUCUCGCCGAAAGUCCAAGGGUUCCUGCGUCAAGUUAAUCUGCGCAGGGUUAGCCGGCCCCUAAGGUGAGGCCGAAAGGCGUAAUCGAUGGGAACCUGGUGAAUAUUCCAGGGCCUGCGGGUAGUGACGGAUUUCGUAAGUUGUUCGGUCUUACUAGAUUGACCGGGCCGCGAAGAAGUCCCAGGAAAUAGCUCCCGCGUAUAGACCGUACCCCAAACCGACACAGGUGGACUAGCAGAGUAUGCUGAGGCGCUUGAGAGAAGUAUGCUGAAGGAACUAGGCAAUUUGCCCUCGUAACUUCGGAAGAAGAGGGCCCAACCUACGCGCAAGCGUUGAUUGGGGGCACAGAGCAGGGGGUAGCGACUGUUUACUAAAAACACAGGACUCUGCGAAAUCCAAAGAUGACGUAUAGGGUCUGACGCCUGCCCGGUGCCGGAAGGUUAAGAGGAGAUGUGAAAGCGUCGAAUCGAAGCCCCGGUAAACGGCGGCCGUAACUAUAACGGUCCUAAGGUAGCGAAAUUCCUUGUCGGGUAAGUUCCGACCUGCACGAAAGGCGUAACGACUUCCCCACUGUCUCCAGCAUAUGCUCAGCGAAGUUGAAUUCCCCGUGAAGAUGCGGGGUACCCGCGGUCAGACGGAAAGACCCCGUGCACCUUUACUGCAGCUUUGCACUGGCAUUAGGGAUGGAUUGCGUAGGAUAGGUGGUAGGCUUUGAAGUCUAGGCUCUGGCUUGGAUGGAGCCACCCUUGAAAUACCACCCUGUUUGUUCCUGAUGUCUAACCGCGAUUCGAAACAGGGUCCGGAACCAUGCAUGGCGGGCAGUUUGACUGGGGCGGUCGCCUCCCAAAGAGUAACGGAGGCGCGCAAUGGUAAGCUCAGGCCGGUCGGAAAUCGGCUGUUGAGUGCAAUGGCACAAGCUUGCCUGACUGCAAGGCUGACAAGCCAAGCAGAGUCGAAAGACGGUCAUAGUGAUCCGGUGGUCCCGCGUGGAAGGGCCAUCGCUCAACGGAUAAAAGGUACGCCGGGGAUAACAGGCUGAUGAUCCCCAAGAGUCCAUAUCGACGGGAUCGUUUGGCACCUCGGUGUCGGCUCAUCACAUCCUGGGGCUGGAGCAGGUCCCAAGGGUAUGGCUGUUCGCCAUUUAAAGUGGUACGUGAGCUGGGUUUAGAACGUCGUGAGACAGUUCGGUCCCUAUCUGUCGUGGGUGUUCGAGACUUGAGAGGAUUUCUUCCUAGUACGAGAGGACCGGAAGGAACGCACCUCUGGUGGAUCGGUUGUCGCGCCAGCGGCACUGCCGAGUAGCUAUGUGCGGAAUAGAUAACCGCUGAAAGCAUCUAAGCGGGAAACUAACCUCAAAACCAGGUCUCGCUGAGAGCCGUGGAAGACUACCACGUUGAUAGGCUGGGCGUGUAAGCGCAGCAAUGCGUUGAGCUUACCAGUCCUAAUCGCUCA
rnacentral:rRNA from 1 species